AAGCAACAUGGAUGCAAGCAUUAAAUUACAAAAGGUCAUUAGGGCAUUGGAGAAAAUCACCACAUCCUAACAGGCUGUGAAUCCAGGAGAAGCACACAAAGCUACACCCCAGUAGUGUCAGAAUAAGAGAAUCAUCCUCUAGAAAAAAAUCACAAACACUAAUGGCAGUAAACCAAUUUUCCUGACAUGUGGAAACAAAUAGAAGCUAUGAUCCAGGGCACCAUUUAUCACCACUUGGAUUUAAAAGGAUCGUUCAUUGUACUGCAGCCUUCAGCUUUUAUUCCUUCUCGCAGCUUUUCAGUAUGACAGUGGACGCUUGCAUGGAUUUUGAAGCCUUAUUGAUAAAAAUUAAUUAUUUCCCUGUGCAUCAUGCGUAAGGCCCUUCCCACCACUGAGCACAUCUACAUGGAAUGCGUCACAGGAAAGCAGCAUCCAUCAUCAGGGAGACACCCCCCCAGGUCAGCGAGUUCCAGGAUCAAGACCCAUGCAAAUCCAGAUGUCGAAGCUCAGAGGUCAAAGUCAAGUCCCAAGAUUAGCAAGACCUGGGGUCGAUACCCAAAGCUGGAGGUCAAAGUCCAGGGAUCAGUGAGUCUAGAGAUUGAAGCCCCUGGGUUGGCGCAUCUACUGAUCGAAGUCUGAUCCAGGUACAGGAGGUUGGAGGCCCAAUGUCUGUGAGCCAGAGAUUCUGGGGCCAAGGGCCAGUAAUCAGAUGUUUGGAGGCUGCCUGUUUGGGGGUCUGUGUGAGAGAGCGGCAGGUGGGAGGGUGGGAACGAUGUUUGUUUGUUGCUGUUUUGUUUUGUAGUUUUUAUUUCUGACGCUUUUGUUGUUCGGCUGGACAAAGUGGACAUGCGAUGUUGAUGGCGGACUGUGUGGCAACACCGGCUGCUGCUGCCGUUGUGUUGAUUGCUACGCAAAUGCGCAUUUCACUGUGUUUCGAUGCACAUGUGACCAGCGUGUCUGCAUAUCCUAUGCCUGCUCAGAGACCUCCUUGACCCUGGCAUGACUUCUAAUGACAAGGCCUCAGUUUCACACUCCUCCCAUUCGGUGGUGGUAUCUCCAGUAGUCCCCCCGAAAAUGCCGAUCCUUGGUCAGCAGAGCCCUCUGAAUCCAUCCCCUUAUGGACUUCCAAAACAGGACUUCGCCAAAUUUUCAUUUAGGCAAUAUUCCCAUUUGGUAGUAGGACCUCCAGUAGCCUCCCCACCCACCCCCCGAAAAUGCCACCCCUCAGCCAUGAU